rnacentral:rRNA from 1 species
UACGUAGGCAGCGAGCGUUGUUCGGAGUUACUGGGCGUAAAGCGUGCGUAGGCGGUUGUCUAAGUUUGGUGUGAAAUCUCCUGCUUAACUGGGAGGGUGCGCCGAAAAACUGGGGUGACUGGAGUGUCGGAGAGGUAAGCGGAAUUCCUGGUGUAGCGGUGAAAUGCGUAGAGAUCAGGAGGAACACCUGUGGUGUAGACAGCUUACUGGACGAUAACUGACGCUGAGGCACGAAAGCGUGGGUAGCAAACAGG